AAAGAUCAUAGUAGAAGGCUGUCGCGGCUGUGCUCUCGGGCGCAGUGCUGCUGAGGCUGGAUUAUUUAUUUACCCUUGUCUUUUGCGCACUUGUUGUUUCCUGGGCGGGUUCGCCCGCCGCCAGGACCACACCAUAAACCUUUUUUUAUGCAGUUGCAAUCAGCGUCAGUACAACAAAUGUAAAUCAUUUACAACUUUCAACAACGGAUCUCUUGGUUCUGGCAUCGAUGAAGAACGCAGCGAAAUGCGAUACGUAGUGUGAAUUGCAGAAUUCAGUGAAUCAUCGAAUCUUUGAACGCACAUUGCGCCCUUUGGUAUUCCAAAGGGCAUGCCUGUUCGAGCGUCAUUUGUACCCUCAAGCUUUGCUUGGUGUUGGGCGUCUUGUCUUUUGGCUCUUUGCCCAAAGACUCGCCUUAAAACGAUUGGCAGCCGGCCUACUGGUUUCGCAGCGCAGCACAUUUUUGCGCUUGCAAUCAGCAAAAGAGGACGGCACUCCAUCAAGACUCCUUCUCACGUUUGACCUCGGAUCAGGUAGGGAUACCCGCUGAACUUAAGCAUAUCAAUAAGCGGAGGAA
rnacentral:sRNA from 1 species